UACGGAGGGGGCUAGCGUUGCUCGGAAUUACUGGGCGUAAAGCGCACGUAGGCGGCUUUGUAAGUUAGAGGUGAAAGCCCGGGGCUCAACUCCGGAACUGCCUUUAAGACUGCAUCGCUAGAAUUGUGGAGAGGUGAGUGGAAUUCCGAGUGUAGAGGUGAAAUUCGUAGAUAUUCGGAAGAACACCAGUGGCGAAGGCGACUCACUGGACACAUAUUGACGCUGAGGUGCGAAAGCGUGGGGAGCAAACAGG
rnacentral:rRNA from 1 species